rnacentral:rRNA from 1 species
AUUGAACGCUAGCGGGAUGCCUAACACAUGCAAGUCGAACGAGUGGCGGACGGGUGAGUAAUAUAUCGGAACCUGCCCAGUAGCGGGGGAUAACUACUCGAAACGGUGGCUAAUACCGCAUACCAUCGGAGCGGCCCAUAUGGGAUUAGCUAGUAGGUGGGGUAACGGCUCACCUAGGCGACGAUCCCUAGCUGGUCUGAGAGGAUGACCAGCGACACUGGAACUGAGACACGGUCCAGACUCCUACGGGAGGCAGCAGUGGGGAAUAUUGCACAAUGGGCGCAAGCCUGAUGCAGCCAUGCCGCGUGUAUGAAGAAGGCCUUCGGGUUGUAAAGUACUUUCAGUGGGGAGGCGUUACCGGCAGAAGAAGCACCGGCUAACUCCGUGCCAGCAGCCGCGGUAAUAC